rnacentral:rRNA from 1 species
GAUCAUGGCUCAGGACGAACGCUGGCGGCGUGCCUAACACAUGCAAGUCGAACGAAGCUUGAUUUCUGAUUUUUUUCGGAAUGACGAAUGAUAUGACUGAGUGGCGGACGGGUGAGUAACGCGUGAGCAACCUGCCCUUCGGAACGGGAUAGUGUCUGGAAACGGACAGUAAUACCGUAUAACAUAUAUUGAUCGCAUGGUUGAUAUAUCAAAACUGAGGUGCCGAAGGAUGGG